AAGGGGUGUGACAGUACUCGACUGUAUUCACGGCGUAAAAUGGGGGAUUAUACUAUUUUUAAAUGGAAAGUGAAUCAAUUAACAUAAUAGACUCUU
rnacentral:pre_miRNA from 1 species